rnacentral:lncRNA from 1 species
ACUCUGUCUCCACCAGCACCCUGGCAGCCCCUUGAGGAUUGGAAUGUGCCUGGAGGACUUCACGGUUUAAGGGGGUAACACAGCCAUGUAAAAAGCAGUGACGCUCAUGGGGCCUGGCCCUAAUGGGGGAUUUCACCAUCACAACAAUCCUACAAAGUGCUAUUCUUAUUCCCAUUUUACAGAUGCGGCAACUGAGGGUGAGUCACUUGCCCACAAGGAGCCAGGGCUCAAACCAGGUGGUCUGAUUCUAGAUCCUGUGCUCUUAUAACCAAGCAGGACCCUGUAAGGCCUUCCCAGAGUGGACCCCCACACCUAUCCUCCCCCUGCCUUUUUUAUCUAUAGAAAAACUUUAGUCAAAGAACCAGUUUAAUCAGGGAAGGGAAAAAACACAGAGAAAAAAAGAAAAUGGUAAUAAUUCAGCCAUUCCACAAAGUCAAGGACCUUCAGUUCUUCAACGACUACAGGUAAUAUUCUGAGCCAUGUCCUUGAAGCUGUUUUGCAGGUGCUGAAGUCCCCACCGGUGGAAGCAGUCAACUGUAUGCUGCCCACAAGCACGUAGACCCCAGACCUUUCGAACCAGAAGGCUGACGAUGCUGACUCGCAAUUACCUCGCCACCCACCAAUCCAGAACAUGGCCACGAGCUGAUCAUGCCCUACUCUUCAAACACUAUAAGACCGCCCACUACCCUAAGGGGGUACAGUCUUUGAGGCACUAGCCUGCUGUGUUCCCCUCUUUGCCUGGCAAUUAAACCUGGUUCCUCCAACUCUGUCUCCGCAUCUUUCUUCGGCCUCGGUGUACAGAAGCAGCCGAGAUUUCGGCAACACUCUUGGCUUCUAGCCUGCCUCUCAAAUAAAGAUGAUGGAGAGCACUUCGCCAAGAGGCACAGAAAGGUUAUGUUUCAGGCCUGAGGGAGCUGGAAGAGGAAAUUCUGCCUAAACAGGGUCGGGAGCUUCCCUUUGCUCGUAAAUUAAUGAGUUCCAAGGCAGAGGAGGCAAUCAACAUGUACCAAUGGACAGGCAGCACAAGGAGAGAGCAGCAGAGAGCGGAUGGCAUUCAAAGCGAUGCAAAGAAGUUUCUGGACAUCCUAGAGGAGCAGGAGGAGAGGACACUGGACUGUGGCUCCAUAGCUGAAGUGUCAGCAUUAAGUCUUGUUGCUGCAAGACGCAUUUCCAAUCUGCAGCCCUGGUUCUAAGCACUAAACACUUGGCCACCUUAACAUAUGUAAUCAAAGUACUCUCUUUUUUCUUCUUCUUUUUUGGCCGCCCUGUGGCAUGUGGAGUUCCCAGGCCAGGGAUCAGACCCAAGACGCAGUGGUGACCCACGCCAAAGCUACAGCAACACGAGAUCCUAACCCGCGGUGUCAGGCCAGGAUCAAAUCUCCCUGCUCUGACCCAUCUUCUUGGAGAGCCAGAUUCUGUUCUGAGCCCUACGAGCCGUGCCACCUGUGGUCUUGGUUUCUCUGCCCCAUGCCGACAACACCCCCAAUCCAGCCUGUAUUCUGCUUAUGCUGGUCGCCAGACUCCUCUUGGACGCUUCUCCUGCGGCUGCGUGUCCCACUGCCCAGGGCUGGCUGGUCCUCUGAUUGCCGGCGAGCUCGGCUGAUCAAAGCAGCCGCCACACUUUCCCACGUGGUGUGACCCGCAUGUCCAGACCUGCCCCCGCAGCUGCAGCAAAAGCCCUCUGCCUCCCCUGCUUCACACUUGCAGCUCUGUCUCCUCUCUAGAUCUGGACUUCUUGGUCUGGCUCAAGGCAAGAGGAGACAGAAAAUGACAAAAAGCAGAAGAGGGAAGGGCAGAAGUAACGGGCUCUUUUGCCAAAUAUCUGCAAGGCCUGUUCCCAUGAUUCAUGCAGGUCUCUGCUCAAAUGUCAUCCCAUCAAAGGCCUCCCCACCUCACGCUCCCCAUCCCCACUGCCUGCUCCUGUAUCCUACCUUUUUUGUUUGUAUUCUUUACCUGCUGUUAUAUUCUAGUUGUAUACUUAAACAUUAUUGUCAGGGUCCUCCCAUGCAGAAGGCAGGAAGUUUGUUUUUACUCAUUGCCGCAUAUCUGGCACAUAAUAAUCCCUCAAUAAAUAGUGGUAAGCUAAAUGAGAACGGCAUUCUCACAGAGCUGACAUCCAGAGGGAGAAGACUCGUAACAGCUGAUAUGUACAAAGAUCUCUCAGGAAAUCAAGGCAGGGAAGUAUUUCUUUUUUCUUAGGAUUAAAUGAGACGUUCAGAAAACCUUUAACAAAGUUUCUAGAACAAGGCAAACCUCCCCCCCCCCCACCAUGUUAGCUACUAUUCUAGAAAACACUCUAGAAAAAUGUACAUGAUUUGGUUAAAACUUCCUUAUCAGGAACACCCAGCUCCUUUCCUGAGAGUUUCCGAUAGCUGAAACUUUCCUGGGGAAAUAGGGGGGUGUGGUCGGUGCCAUCUGAAACUGAAAAUAUCCUUUUAGUCCAACAGAGGCCUUUUAUUUUAUUUUAUUUUGGUCUUUUUAGGGCCGCACCUGGCAUAUGGAGGUUGCCAGGCUACGGGUCAAAUCGGAGCCAUAGCCGCCGUCCUACGCCACAGCCACAGCAACGCCAGAUCUAAGACACAUUCACAACCCACAUGGCAGCUCAUAGCCAUGCCAGACCCUUAACCCACAGAGCGAGGCCACGGAUGGAACCUGCAACCUUAUGGAUACUAGUUGGGUUCUUAACCCCCUGAGCCAAAAGGCGAACUCCUAAACAGAGGCCAUUUUAUUUAUUUUAUAUUUUGCUUUUUUUUAGGGCUCCACUCAUGGCAUGUGGAAGUUCCCAGGAGGCUGAGGGUUGAAUCGGAGGUGUAGCUGCCGGCCUACGCCACAGCCACAGCAAUGCAGGAUCCGAGCUGCAUCGGCGACCUACGUAGCUCACGGCAAUGUUGGAUCCUUAACCCACUGAGUGGGGCCAGGAAUCGAACCCAUAUCCUCAUGGAUACUAGCCGGAUUUGUUUCUGCUGAGCUACAACAGGAACUCCCCAGAGGCCAUUUUAAAUACAGGUGUUGGAGUUCCCGUCGUGGCACAGUGGUUAACGAAUCU